UUUAUUUAAAUAACUGCACAUUUAGAAACCAAUAGGGAUAGCUUACCUUACUGCUAUUCAUAAGUUGUACACAUACCAAGAAAUUGAUCAUUUCUGUGAAAAUGAAUAUAAUUUGAACUUUUGUACAACAUAUGCUGUACAUUUUUUCAUUCAUUUAAAAACAUCUGUUUUUAUGAGAUUUGCAUUUAAGUUUUUUUUUCCCUCAGUAACCACUGAUAAUGGAUACCAACACCGGUUGUAUAAUGUUUUAAUUUUUAAUUCAUUUAAAAGAUCUGUGACCAUGUAAUACAAAUACAAAAGACAGACACACUGGACAUGACCGUUGGUAAAGUUGUUUGGCAGGAUUACUUUGAGUGACCACAAAAAUAGAAACACUUGUACAUUGUAAUGCAAUCAAAUACAGCAGUCCUAAUAAAUACUCCCUUGGUGACACUUUAUAGUAAUAAUAUGUAUAUUUAGGGUUGAUUACAGGACAGUUAUAUUGGAUUGAACUGGACUGUACAUAGGGUAUUAGUUUCUCAUCCCUCAGGCAGUGUGAAAAAAGCAGUGGUUUGGAAACAAAUUACAAAGGUAUUGCUCACAGUUUAUAGGUGCAGCUAGGUGUUCAUGGUAAAAUAUGAUAGCAUAGUGCAAUUGUGCAAGCACCCCUAAACCCAUUUAGACCUUUAUAAAAUAGUAUAUAGACAGUAAAAAAAUAAA